rnacentral:rRNA from 1 species
GAUGAACGCUGGCGGCGUGCCUAAUACAUGCAAGUCGAGCGAACAGACGCGGAGCUUGCUCCUCUGACGUUAGCGGCGGACGGGUGAGUAACACGUGGAUAACCUCCCUAUAAGACUGGGAUAACUUCGGGAAACCGGAGCUAAUACCGGAUAACAUGUUGAACCGCAUGGUUCAACAGUGAAAGACGGUCUUGCUGUCACUUAUCGAUGGAUCCGCGCCGCAUUAGCUAGUUGGUAAGGUAACGGCUUACCAAGGCAACGAUGCGUAGCCGACCUGAGAGGGGGGUCGGCCACACUGGAACUGAGACACGGUCCAGACUCCUACGGGAGGCAGCAGUAGGGAAUCGUCCGCAAUGGGCGAAAGCCUGACGGAGCAACGCCGCGUGAGUGAAGAAGGUCUUCGGAUCGUAAAACUCUGUUAUGAGGGAAGAACAAAUGUGUAAGUAACUAUGCACGUCUUGACGGUACCUAAUCAGAAAGCCACGGCUAACUACGUG